UCGGGAAUCUUGCGCAAUGGGCGAAAGCCUGACGCAGCGACACCGCGUGAGUGAGGAAGGUCUUCGGAUUGUAAAGCUCUGUCGGCAGGAAAGAUGGAACAGGUGGUUAAUACCCAUUUGUUUUGACGGUACCUGCAAAGGAAGCACCGGCUAACUCUGUGCCAGCAGCCGCGGUAAUACAGAGGGUGCAAGCGUUGUUCGGAUUUACUGGGCGUAAAGGGCGCGUAGGCGGCAAUUCAAGUCAUCUGUGAAAUCUCCGGGCUUAACUCGGAACGGUCAGAUGAUACUGCUUUGCUAGAGUGCAGAAGGGGCAAUCGGAAUUCUUGGUGUAGCGGUGAAAUGCGUAGAUAUCAAGAGGAACACCUGAGGUGAAGACGGGUUGCUGGGCUGACACUGACGCUGAGGCGCGAAAGCCAGGGGAGCAAACGGGAUUAGAUACCCAUGUAGUCCCUGAGCGGGCUGGCAAGGCGCAU
rnacentral:rRNA from 1 species